UACGGAGAGGGCAAGCGUUGUUCGGAAUCACUGGGCAUAAAGCGCACGUAGGCGGAUUGGAUAGUCGGUUGUGAAAGCCCGGGGCUCAACCCCGGAACUGCCACCGAAACUUCCAGUCUAGAGGGUGAGAGGGGAGAGUGGAACUUCUGGUGGAGCGGUGAAAUGCGUAGAGAUCAGAAGGAACACCGGUGGCGAAAGCG
rnacentral:rRNA from 1 species